rnacentral:snRNA from 1 species
AUGCUUACCUGGAGGGGAAGGGAGAUGACAAGGUCAUGAAGGUGGUUUUCCCAGGGCAAGGUUCAUCCACUGCACUGCAGACACGCUCACCCCUACAUGUGGGAAACUUGAUGAAAUAAUUCGUGGUAAUGGGGACCGUGUUAGUGCUCUCCCCU